UACGAAGGGGGCUAGCGUUGUUCGGAAUUACUGGGCGUAAAGGGCGCGUAGGCGGCUGUGCAAGUCAGAUGUGAAAGCCCUGGGCUCAACCCAGGAUGUGCAUUUGAUACUGCGCGGCUAGAGUGUCGGAGAGGAUGGUGGAAUUCCCAGUGUAGAGGUGAAAUUCGUAGAUAUCAAGAGGAACACCUGAGGUGAAGACGGGUUGCUGGGCCGACACUGACGCUGAGUGCGCGAAAGCCAGGGGAGCAAACGGG
rnacentral:rRNA from 1 species